rnacentral:rRNA from 1 species
UACGAAGGGUGCAAACGUUGCUCGGAAUUAUUGGGCGUAAAGCGCACGUAGGCGGCUCAGCAAGUCGGAAGUGAAAUCCCUCGGCUCAACCAAGGAAGUGCUUUCGAAACUGCUGAGCUUGAGUACUUAAGAGGAUCGCGGAAUUCCCGGUGUAGAGGUGAAAUUCGUAGAUAUCGGGAGGAACACCAGUGGCGAAGGCGGCGAUCUGGGAAGAUACUGACGCUGAGGUGCGAAAGCGUGGGGAGCAAACGGG